UAUGUUGUUAAUUAGUUGGAGAGUGGCGACGUGCGUCGAGCAGUGUAGCGUUAGUGAAGUGUUAGCCAGGCAGAGCGCACGACAAGCUGUCCAGCACACCAGAUCAUUAUAAACAACUAAAAGAGUGCAUUAUAAGUGAAGGAUUUAACGUGGAGCGUUUGCUUUGCUGCAUCAGGACGUUGUCAAGAAUUUGAUUUGAUGUUGACAGAGAUGAAGGUUUGACCGAUUUCACGUCAAGCACAGGAGGCCUACCACAAAUGCUGGAGAGUGCCGUCAAAUCCAGCAGUGAAGAUGAACAUCUAAGGGGACUCCCACAAUGGCUUGAGUACUAAUGCUGCUCAGAUAUGCUGUGUGUAUGGAAAGACUGAGGAGUUGAAAGCUGAUUCUACCCUGGAAAGGAGUAAUUUUCUCUUUUAGAGGGGAUGGAAGACCAAGCAGAUACUAUAUUAAAAAGUGCUACACAAUGAUGGUUGUUCUUGCAUAUCUUCUGCCACCGUUGCCUGGAAGUCGAUGCAAUGUUAAAUCUGAAAUUUCAUUUUUCAAUUUAAUUUUGUACCACGUGGAGCCACUAUUGCAUCCCUCUGCAGCAGUUUUGAGACCGCAUCAAAGACCAGACCACAGCCAAUCUACAUUGGAAGUUUGAAGAGCACAACAUGACAGUACAUCAUUACGAGGAUUGACAGAGUAACCAUUCCUGUGGAUGAGGGCCUGAUGUGCUGUGGACAAUAUAUUCUAGGUGUGAAACUUGUCCUGUCCACCACAGAUUAGUUUGGUCUUUUCUUUCUAAGACUGGAGCAUCUAAUAUUGAAACACCACAUUCACUCUGUCAAUAUCUUGGAUGGCAUUGGGUGAGUAAAUUAUUAGGAAAUUUUCUUUUUGGGGUGAACUAAUCCUUUAAGCAUACAAUGAACACUCACAGUAGCUUUUAGUCAAUAUAAAGCGUUAUGUUAUCUUAUGUUAUGUUCUUACACUGCAGUAAGUAAUGCAUUCAUAAAGUGAUUCUCUAUUAAAGUUGUUUAAAUGUGAAAAACUUUGUUUAUUAAAGUUUAUUGCAAACGAA